rnacentral:lncRNA from 1 species
CUUGGUAUGAAUGUGUGUCUCUUCAUUUUCAAUUGUUAAUUCCCUACUGGCAGAGAGCUAAAUGCUGACAGGUUUUGAUAUUCUCAUUUCUAUGGCCCCUCACUGGGCAUUUCUACGUUGUAAAUAUUCAUUUUUCCUCACCUGCCUAAAAGCAAUCUGGAAUUGUAUCAGAUGGUGUCUCAUUGCUGAUUUGUUAUAAUAAAGACCUGAUGGCCAAUAGCCAAAGCAGGAAGUAGGAGGUGGAACUGCCGUACAGAGUGAGUGAAGCAAGGGAAUGACGCAGAUGCAAGCUAUUCGGGAGUGGACACGGGGAACAGACCGACCACCGCAGAGGAGAGUGGUAUAGAGCUAGCCGUGUGCUCUCAGGAGAAGUCUCUCUUCCUAUUGGGAGAACAACACAUAACUCCUUUUAUUGAAAACCACCAUGAAUAACUGUUAGGCUGGUGACUAAUGAGUCUCUUGCUGGAGCUAGACUGGAGGCCAACAAGCUCUAACAGUUUUGCUGUGUCUUCCCCUCACAACUGAAGUCAUAGGUGAGCA